GUUUGAGCUGGGACACUGCUAUUUUUCCCACCUUCAGACUCAAACUGAGACAUGAGCUCUUUCCAGGUCUCAAGCCUGCUGGCUUUUGGAACUUACACCACUGACUCUGCUGGUUCUCAGGCCUUUGGACUCAGCCUGGAACUACACCAUCAGCUCUCCUGGGUUUCCAGCUUGCUGAAUGCAGAUCUUAGGACCUGUUGGCCUCUGUAAUUGUCCUGGAAGAUGAUUCUCCAAGACCAGUCUAUGCUGCUGAGGGCAGAAUUAAUCCAGAAUAUGACUGUUUCCUUCCUGGAAAAGCAAAAAUAUCAAUGAGGAGGAGUGAGUCUCAAGUUCCUUAUCCAUGGCCCCCUUCAAAGUACUUCAACACAGACUACAUAUCCCAGGCAAAAAGAGAUUCAAGCCAUACAGAAACACUAUUUUUGUUCUCUGUCUUCUCUAGUGCUCUCCUCAAAUUGGAAAAGGUAAAAAUAAGCACAAACAAAAUAACCACAAAGAAGAUACUACAUCCCAAGAUCAGAGAGGAGUUCAUGAGAGUGCUUGCUGCCUUAAACGAGGCUAAUGUUUGGGCCUUAAUGCUAUUCCAAAGUAUUAAAAGAACCUUCAAUAGAAAGAGUGAAAGCUCAUAUGGUGCAGACGUCAGAAACAUGACCCAGAAGGAAAAGGUAGGUGCAGACACAACUGCUGAAGCUGCCCAGUGAAGGAAGUUGACUCAAGAACCAAGAGAAGUCAUGUGAUGAGCCCAGAAAUCCCUCCAUCCCUCCGUCCGUCCGUCUGUCUGUCUGUCCCCCCACUGCAACCCCAUGACUGUCCUGGUAUAUUACACUCCAGCUUAUUCCUCACUUUGCAAGGUGGGGCUUAUACAGCAGUGGCUGUCAGACUCUGAUCUUUAACAGAAUCACCUGGGGCACUUGGUCAAAACACAAAGGCCCAGGCCCCUCCCACCUCCAGGAGCCUGGGACUCCGCAUUCUUCAUCAGCUCUCCAGGUGAUUCUAGAUGCAAAGUUUGAGAACCAUAUGGCCACAAAAAAAAGGAGGGAGGUGGGGGGAGUUAUUUAAACACAAAAGGGAGCAAUCUUUGAGAUAUCUUUAAGAGAAAGACACAAGUGCAGAACAGUGUGUUUAGCAUGCUGCCUUAUGUAUAAGAAAAGAUGGGGCAAUGAAAAUAAAGGUUUUUUAAAGAUGGGAGUGAGACAGAUACAAGAUAUAUAGAUAUAGAGUAUCU
rnacentral:lncRNA from 10 species